rnacentral:rRNA from 1 species
UACGAAGGGGGCUAGCGUUGUUCGGAUUUACUGGGCGUAAAGCGCACGUAGGCGGACUUUUAAGUCAGGGGUGAAAUCCCGAGGCUCAACCUCGGAAUUGCCUUUGAUACUGGAAGUCUUGAGUUCGGAAGAGGUGAGUGGAAUUGUGAGUGUAGAGGUGAAAUUCGUAGAUAUUCACAAGAACACCGGUGGCGAAGGCGGCUCACUGGUCCGAUACUGACGCUGAGGUGCGAAAGCGUGGGGAGCAAAC